CAGCGCUGCAAGUGGGAAUCACGAUUAUUGGGCCUAAAGCGUCCGUAGCCGCUUCAAUAAAUUUUUUGUGAAAUUGGUGAACUAAAUUCAUCAACGUGCAGGAAAAACUGUUGAACUUGAGACCGGGAGGGGUUGGGAGUAUUCCAGGGGGAGCGGUAAAAUGCUAUAAUCCCUAGAGGACUACCUGUGGCGAAGGCGUCUGACUAGAACGGAUCUGACGGUGAGGGACGAAAGCUAGGGGAGCAAUCCGGAUUAGAGACCCGAGUAGUCC
rnacentral:rRNA from 1 species